rnacentral:lncRNA from 1 species
GUGUACUUGCGUGCCAGAAUUUCCUGCAGUUCUUGACGAGAGAUUUCUCCGGUGUUUUCUGGAGUUGUUCGUGAAGAACAAAAAGGAGGUUCUUUCAAAGAUUCAUGAGUGAUCCGACCAAAGAUGGGAACUAAGAACGUUUCUUGUUUUAAGCGUCUCCAGCAAUGGUGGAGAAGGCUGACAAAGAACACCAACAAUGAAUCAAAGGAUGUUCAGAAGAACCAGACUUCUCCGUUUUCCAAAACCGAGUGGAAACAGCUUCUUCAACAAUUUGAGGUUUUCAAAAAGAAGUCGACCAAAGAAAAUGCUCUUAUUUUUGAAGGAAGUGAGGAAAGUGCAAACACUUACCUCGUAUCUGAUAUUUUUGAAAAGUUGAAGAAGAAUUUCAAGAAUUACAGGAUUGUGUCUUUGAAGCUAAAUGACACCAAUGAAAAUGCAAUGAGGAAGAUGUACAAGAUGCUGCUGCCGAAAACAAAUGAAGAAUGUCUUUCAAAACAGACAUUCAGCCUAUUCCC